GAAUUUGGAUUUGAUAGCAGAAAGAUUGAAUUGUGGAGGAUAAAGCAGAGAGGUAGUCAUGCUGAUAGCUUCGGCUCUCGUGCCACUUCAAAGCUUGUGCUUUGCCACCUCUUCAAAGCAUUUUCCGUUGAACAUAUCUGUAGUUUCACAAAUUUCAACGUCUUCUCAUUCUUCAGCAAAGAAUGCUCAUCCCUUGAAGCUCCAGCACCCACCAAGAGCAUCUUCCGAAGGAAUUCCUACUGAGUUAAUUGAAGAUUCAAAGUUUGUUCCUUUGAAUUCUGACGAUCCUAUAUAUGGUCCACCUGCCUUAUUGCUCUUGGGCUUUGAAGUGGAGGAGGAAGUGAAGAUACGACAGCUUUUGAAAGAGUUGGAUGGUGAAUUCCUUCAGGUUAUUUAUUGCACUGAAGACAUGAUAACUCGUUCGCUUUGGGAAUCAAUGAACACAAAACAGUCAAAUUUGGAAGCACUGAAGAUUGCAAAAGCACUGCCACGAAUUUGCUUCUUAUCUGGUCUUAGCGGGGAGGAGACGAUGAUGUUUAUUGAUGCCUUUCCAGAAACUGGAUUAGAAGCAGCUGUAUUUGCAGCUCUUGUUCCCAACAGUGCUGAUAAACCCCUCCAAGAGUUGAUAGAAGAGAUUAUGGGAGAUCAUGAAAUGCUGUCUGGGAAACAAAUGGAUUAGACACUGGGAGCUGCAGACUAGAGGAUUUUCUUUGACGACUGAAGAAUCUAAUUUCAGCCCAUGCAAUGGAUUCACCCAAUGAAAACAUCUCCUAAAGUCCAUUGACUUAUGAUUCUGGAAAGGUCGGGAUCAAGCAACGACGACCUGUACGACUUCCACAACCUUUCCGCGUGAAGUGAAGCCUUUUACAAUUGUAAAGCUCUCGGUGCCUAACUUUCAAAGCUGUCUGAAAGUUUAACUCCCACCAACGGUGAACCCACUUGUGGGGGAGGUGUCAGGUUCAAACCCAUUAUUACUCAUCACUCAUAACAUUGAAAUGGUUGGUAUGGUCGAUGUGGGAUAUCCAUGACUCAUUGUUUUAGUCAAAUUUUAAUCAUCAUUCUCCUUUACUUAUCCUA